GCUCAGAAGUGGGAGGAGCUGCACUUGGGAUUCCUACUGUGGUAUUGAGAACCAGCUCCCAGGCUCUGCAAGAUGAAAACCAAUCCUAGAGUUAAACCAAGAUGUCAGGCCGGCUAGGGAGUGGGAAAGAGAAGGAAGCCCAAGUUUAAACAAAAAUGGCCUCGAGGCCGGCUUUCUUUCCUUACUCAAUCUUGCGACUUUCAGAAGAGCCAGCUAUGUGACCAGCGAGACUCCGAGCACAUGACGUUCACUUUAUGAAUCAAAUGUCCCGCCUGGUGGCUCCAACAGGACCAGGAUGAGGCACCACAGGGCAAGGCAUCAGAGGACUACACAAACCCAGGGGCCGCUGUGUGGCUGACUUCAGGAAUGUGAAUGGGGCUGCCAAGUGUGUGACUUGAAACCAUACUGGUGCACCAAGGAUCUUCAAGGUAUGCGACAGCGUUGAGGAUGAAAGAGAAGAUGGCCCAGGAGCUGGUGGUGCACACGUUUAUUCCCAGCACUCAGAAGGCAGAAAGUGCUCUCCAACAGUGAACUGAGGUUUCUGAAAGCAAACCUGCAGACUGAUGGACUCCUUAAAACUUCCUGAUUGUGGAAGGUGAGAAUGUUGCAGAGCCAAAGCCAACAUCAUCUUGUGACAUUGUUAGUUCUCUCAAUAGCCGUUACUCACCUUCCUCUGCAUCCGACUUAAGACCUAUGGGACGAUCAGGAAAGACUUUAGGAAUGUAUUAACUUGGCUGGCCAUCAUCACCCCCAAGGGCAAGAAUGUCAUCAGAGAACAUCCGAGGAUCUCAACAGGAUCUCCCACUUGGCUGCAACCUCAUGUCCCAGCAAUGUGUUUGACAAAUGCUUUGAUUUGUGACUGUCUUGUGUUUGGUAACUUUUUAGGUUCAGGUCACCACAUCCAUGGUGGAACAUGUCAUUCAAGGCAGUCUGAGUCUGUGUCACUCAUAUUUGGUUUGGAAUAAAAUCUCUCUUAUCCCCUUUGG
rnacentral:lncRNA from 1 species